rnacentral:rRNA from 1 species
UCGAACUUGGAGAUAGCUGGUUCUCUCCGAAAUAGCUUUAGGGCUAGCCUCGAGGUAAAGAGUCAUGGAGGUAGAGCACUGUUUGGACUAGGGGCCCUUCUCGGGUUACCGAAUUCAGAUAAACUCCGAAUGCCAUGUACUUAUACUCGGGAGUCAGACUGCGAGUGAUAAGAUCCGUAGUCGAAAGGGAAACAGCCCAGACCACCAGUUAAGGUCCCCAAAUAUAUGUUAAGUGGAAAAGGAUGUGGGGUUGCUUAGACAACCAGGAUGUUGGCUUAGAAGCAGCCACCAUUGAAAGAGUGCGUAAUAGCUCACUGGUCGAGUGACCCCGCGCCGAAAAUGUACCGGGGCUAAACAUAUUACCGAAACUGUGGAUGAACCUCUUUAGAGGUUCGUGGUAGGAGAGCGUUCUAAGGGCGGUGAAGUCAGACCGGAAGGACUGGUGGAGCGCUUAGAAGUGAGAAUGCCGGUAUGAGUAGCGAAAGAAGGGUGAGAAUCCCUUCCACCGAAUAUCUAAGGUUUCCUGAGGAAGGCUCGUCCGCUCAGGGUUAGUCGGGACCUAAGCCGAGGCCGAUAGGCGUAGGCGAUGGACAACAGGUAGAGAUUCCUGUACCAGUGCUAAUUGUUUAACCGAUG